GUACUCGCUUUAGCAGCACAUAUACUAAAAUUGGACUAUAUAGAGAAGAUUAGCUUGGUCCCUGCUAAAGGACAGCACACAAAUUCAUGAACUGUUUCAUGAAUUU